GCUGUGCAAGCCCCUCUCUUUCCUCUCUCACUCCCUUGCUCUCUUCCACCCUCUCCUUCCUCUCUCUAAUUCAGUAUAUCCUGGCUUGAUAUUGUACAUACCAUUAUUCUGCAAAAUCGAUGACAGCUGGUUCAAGCUCCAAUGCCACUUCUAUGGAUGUUAUAUACUAUAAUAGUAUUUCAAAACCUAUGACUCCUACC
rnacentral:lncRNA from 1 species